rnacentral:rRNA from 1 species
UCGACCUGAGUUCAGGUGAGGCUACCCGUCUGAACUUAARCA